AUACGUAGGGUGCGAGCGUUAAUCGGAAUUACUGGGCGUAAAGCGUGCGCAGGCGGUCUUGCAAGACAGUGGUGAAAUCCCCGGGCUCAACCUGGGAACUGCCAUUGUGACUGCAAGGCUGGAGUGCGGCAGAGGGGGAUGGAAUUCCGCGUGUAGCAGUGAAAUGCGUAGAUAUGCGGAGGAACACCGAUGGCGAAGGCAAUCCCCUGGGCCUGCACUGACGCUCAUGCACGAAAGCGUGGGGAGCAAACAGGAUUAGAUACCCUGGUAGUCCACGCCCUAAACGAUGUCAACUGGUUGUUGGGGAUUAACUUUCUCAGUAACGAAGCUAACGCGUGAAGUGGACCGCCUGGGGAGUACGGCCGCAAGGUUAAA
rnacentral:rRNA from 1 species